CCUAUCCCCACCGGCGCUGCCGUGACGUCACCCCGCGCGACGCCCGCCGCCACUUCCUGCUCCCACUCCUCCCGAGACUGAGCGGCGGCUGCUAAUGGCAGUUCAUAGUCUCCGUGGAGCCGCCGCGAUGCAGUUAGCAAAGCACUUGCACCCUCCUUUAGACCCGGGCUGCAAGGCGCGCGCGCAACGCCCUCACUACUGACCGCAUUCCUACCAAGCGAUUGCAUUCGCUCCCACCGUGUCAAUUUUCAUCCCUGCCCUGAGAGCCAAAUCGAAUUUCAUUCAUUUUAUUCCACCAUCUCCGCUCCACUUUUCAGCUGUGUAACCUUAGGAAAGUUCCUGAGCGUCAAUUGUUGAGUCUCUGAGCUUCAGUGUUCUCCAUUUCUUCAUUUCUGUAAAGUGAACAUGAGAGAGAGAAUACCAAGUAGAUUCCUUGCUGAGUCCAUCAAGGGGCUGGAUCCCACAACCAUGAGAUCAUGUCCUGAGCAGAAACCACGUGUUGGGCACUCCACCAAGAGUGGAUGCUCCACUGACUGCCCUACCACCAGUCAUCCAGAAUGGGAAAAGGCUACAUGAUUCUCAGGGGACACAGUCGCAAAACAGGUGAUUUGGAUCUGAAGAAAAUCAAGGUGAAAAGCUCUCACCACUAACAACAAGCAAAUGAAAGAGAAUGGAAAAUUCUGGCCAAAAGGUGUCACAUAUGUGGACAUGUUGCCUUAAGGGCUUGGAUGCAGUAGAAAACAAUAAGAUACAGUGUUUUGUUUAUUUUGUAAAG